rnacentral:rRNA from 1 species
AGUCGAGAAUCUUGGUCAAUGGGCGAAAGCCUGAACCAGCGACGCCGCGUGGGGGAUGAAGGCCUUCGGGUCGUAAACCCCUGUCGGGUGUGAGUAAGGCCCUACUUACGUAGGGAUUGAGAUUAGCACCAAAGGAAGGGACGGCUAACUCCGUGCCAGCAGCCGCGGUAAUACGGAGGUCCCAAGCGUUGUUCGGAUUUACUGGGCGUAAAGCGUGCGUAGGCGGCGAGGCAAGUUUGGCGUGAAAGCUCCGGGCCCAACCCGGAAAAUGCGCUGGAAACUGCCUCACUAGAGGUAUGGAGGGGAGUCUGGAAUUCCUGGUGUAGCAGUGAAAUGCGUAGAUAUCAGGAGGAACACCAAUGGCGAAGGCAAGACUCUGGACAUAUCCUGACGCUGAGGUACGAAGGCCAGGGGAGCGAAGAGGAUUAGAUACCCUCGUAGUCCUGGCAGUAAACGGUGUGCACUUGCUGUAGGCGGAUUCGACCCCGUCUGUGGCGAAGCUAACGCGUUAAGUGCACCGCCUGGGGAGUACGGCCGCAAGGUUAAAACUCAAAGAAAUUGACGGGGGCCUGCACAAGCGGUGGAGCAUGUGGCUUAAUUCGAUGCAACGCGAAGAACCUUACCUGGGUUUGACAUGCUUGGUCGUCGCUUCCUGAAAGGGAAGCUUCAGUUCGGCUGGACCUUGCACAGGUGCUGCAUGGCUGUCGUCAGCUCGUGUCGUGAGAUGUUGGUUUAAGUACCGCAACGAGCGCAACCCCUAUGUCCUGUUGCCACGGAGAACACGUUUCUCCAGCACUCUGGACAGACUGCCUCAUUUGCAUGAGGAGGAAGGUGGGGAUGACGUCAAGUCAGUAUGGCCCUUACGCCCAGGGCUGCACACGUGCUACAAUGCCCGGCAUAAUGGGAAGCAAAAUCGCGAGAUGGAGCAAAUCCUCAAAACCGGGCCCAGUUCGGAUUGGAGUCUGCAACUCGACUCCAUGAAGUCGGAAUCGC